rnacentral:rRNA from 1 species
GACGAACGCUGGCGGCGUGCUUAACACAUGCAAGUCGAACGGAAAGGCCCUGCUUUUGUUGGGUGCUCGAGUGGCGAACGGGUGAGUAACACGUGAGUAUCCUGCCCUUGACUUUGGGAUAACUUCAGGAAACUGGGGCUCAUACCGGAUAGGAGCUCCUGCUGCAUGGUGGGGGUUGGAAAGUUUCGGCGGUUGGGGAUGGACUCGCGGCUUAUCAGCUUGUUGGUGGGGUAGUGGCUUACCAAGCCUUUGACGGGUAGCCGGCCUUAGAGGGUGACCGGCCACAUUGCGACUGAGAUACGGCCCAGACUGCUACGUGAGGCAGCAGGGGGGAGUAUGGCGCAAUGGGCGGAAGCCUGAUGCAGAAACGCCGCGUGCGGGAUGACGGCCUUCGGGGUGUAAACCGCUGUCGCCUGUGACGAAGCGUGAGUGACGGUAAUGGGUAAAGAAGCACCGGCUAACUACGUG